rnacentral:rRNA from 1 species
GAUGAACGCUGGCGGCGUGCCUAACACAUGCAAGUCGAGCGAACCCUUCGGGGUGAGCGGCGGACGGGUGAGUAACGCGUGGGUAACCUGCCCUGUACACACGGAUAACAUAUCGAAAGGUAUGCUAAUACGAGAUAAUAUAUUUUAAUCGCAUGGUUAAGAUAUCAAAGCUCCGGCGGUAUGGAUGGACCCGCGUCUGAUUGGCUAGUUGGUGA